GCUUUCUUAAGUCAUUGCUAAAGAGCACAAGUUUAAUAAGUUUAACACAUUUCAAAACUGGUGUAAAAGCUAUUAUAAUAGAGUUGUAAAAUCAAAACCCUCGCUAGCGGUUUGACGUUUGCCGUAAACGUCAAUCUUAAGGUCUCUAUUAUGAUAAAUUCGCGGCAAAUUUUGAAUUUAUCAUAAUAAUAAGUUCGCGGCACCUAACACUAACCCCAUGAAACCCUAACCACUAACCCCUAACCACUAACCCUUUUAACUUUUUAAAUUUUUUUAACAAUUAAAAAACUUGAAAAACUCCCCACCCCAGGGCGACCAGCCUCCGUUUUAGUGCCAUUACAUUUAUAACAAGAAAUCUUGUCUAAUGCUUGUGGUUUUAUGAUUAACUCUAUUGAUAAAUUCAAAAUGUGCCGCGAAUUUAUCAUAAUGAUAAAUUCAGACGUGUUUAAGAAUUUACUCAUAUAGUAAAUUCAAAGGU
rnacentral:lncRNA from 1 species